GGCAAGAUGGCCGAGCGGUCUAAGGCGCCACGUUAAGGUCUUCCAAACCCUUAAUCCGCCUCAUCUGAUGAGGUAUAAAUCCGUGGUCCGAAAGGGCGUGGGUUCGAAUCCCACUCUUGUCA